rnacentral:rRNA from 1 species
UACGUAGGUGACAAGCGUUGUCCGGAUUUACUGGGUGUAAAGGGCGCGUAGGCGGGAUAGCAAGUCAGUCGUGAAAUGCCGGGGCUUAACCUCGGAGCUGCGAUUGAAACUGUUAUUCUUGAGUAUCGGAGAGGAAAGCGGAAUUCCUAGUGUAGCGGUGAAAUGCGUAGAUAUUAGGAGGAACACCAGUGGCGAAGGCGGCUUUCUGGACGACAACUGACGCUGAGGCGCGAAAGUGUGGGGAGCAAACAGG